GAUGAACGCUGGCGGCGUGCUUAACACAUGCAAGUCGAACGAUGAUGCCCACUUGUGGGUGGAUUAGUGGCGAACGGGUGAGUAACACAUGAGUAACCUGCCCUUGACUCUGGGAUAAGCCUGGGAAACUGGGUCUAAUACCGGAUAUGACCUUCCAUCGCAUGGUGGUUGGUGUAAAGCUUUUGUGGUUUUGGAUGGACUCGCGGCCUAUCAGCUUGUUGGUGGGGUAAUGGCCUACCAAGGCGACGACGGGUAGCCGGCCUGAGAGGGUGACCGGCCACACUGGGACUGAGACACGGCCCAGACUCCUACGGGAGGCAGC
rnacentral:rRNA from 1 species